UACGGGGGGGGCAAGCGUUGUCCGGAAUUAUUGGGCGUAAAGGGCGCGUAGGCGGCCAUGCGUGUCUUCCGUGAAAUCCCUCGGCUUAACUGAGGACGUGCGGAAGAAACUGCAAGGCUCGAGUCCGGGAGAGGAGAGUGGAAUUCCCAGUGUAGCGGUGAAAUGCGUAGAUAUUGGGAGGAACACCGGUGGCGAAGGCGGCCCUCUGGACCGGUACUGACGCUGAUGCGCGAAAGCGUGGGUAGCAAACGGG
rnacentral:rRNA from 1 species